rnacentral:lncRNA from 1 species
GUGCUGUGAAUUUCCAGACAUUGUAAGUGAUCUACUUCCUGUCAUUGCUGCUUCUAUGGACGAUGUCUACACCUUUAUUAAACAGACUGUACGUAAUGAGAUCCAAUCAAUAUCGAUUACCUCGUUUCGAAUUUCGACAUCAUCCAUUACUUCGAUUUCCCGCGCACACUCGGUCUGGACGCGCGUGUCUGUCGACCAAAAUAUCCAACUGGCUGGAUACGGGUUUUGUGGCCGGACACGCCCCAUAAGACAACUUAGGGCAAUUUCGAAGAGACAACAGCCACCGAAAAGCUUAUCUCAAAGUCGUUUCCAGGCGCUGCGAAAUCCACUCGUUUGGUACCAGCCUUAGGGUUAGUUCCCACCAAGCUGCGAGGGGCGAUGGGCGAAGCGAACUGACGUCAUGACUGGCGAUGCACAGAGAACUUGGG